rnacentral:rRNA from 1 species
UGCGUAGGCGGCUAUAUAAGUCAGAGGUGAAAGCCCGGCGCUCAACGUCGGAAUUGCCCCUGAUACUGUAUAGCUUGAAUCAUGCUGAGGUCGGCGGAAUGAGUCAUGUAGCGGUGAAAUGCAUAGAUAUGACUUAGAACACCAAUUGCGAAGGCAGCUGGCUGGGUAUGAAUUGACGCUGAGGCACGAAAGCGUGGGGAGCGAACAGGAUUAGAUACCCUGGUAGUCC